CCAUUUCUUACUCUGUCAUAUCCUGAUUGUGUGAUUUCAACCCCCAAUGCGCCAAGCCAAGAUCCUAGGGUUAAAAAAAAUGAGGUAAAUCUUUUUCCUCCCAAGAUUCACAGAUUAUUCAAUCAUGGAGUUGAUGAGCAGCGUUACCGUCCAUCUUCAGUUCUGUGCAUCAAAUUAUUCUAUUCCUUUUACUAUUCAAUCCAGCUCGCUUUUCGAGUGGCUGCCAUUAUUGAAAUACCCACACUUCACUUCAUACGCUGAUAACUCCCCAAAACACCAUCUAAAAGGGUAUUUGCCAUUUAUCUUACUCCAAUAGUAGAGAAAAGGAAUGCCAAAUUGGGAGCUCAGGAAAUGCUGCAAUCACGAGCAAGUGGUCUUUCUUGCCACACUUGGUGUCUGCACUGUCGUCAUUCUUGCUCUAUGGAGGACAGUUCUGCUACUGCCAUUCAAACUAGUUACUGUAUUCAUUCAUGAAGCUAGUCAUGCUAUUGCUUGCAAACUUACUUGCGGUCAUGUGGAAGGCAUCCAGAUUCAUGCUGAUGAAGGUGGCAGUACCGAAACACGUGGUGGUGUAUAUUGGUUCAUUCUACCAGCUGGAUACCUCGGUUCGUCUUUCUGGGGAAUGGUUUUAGUCCUCGCCUCUACAAAUCUUCUGACAGCAAGAGUUGCCGCUGGAUGUUUAGCUGUCACGCUACUUGUUGUUCUCUGUGUGGCUAAAAAUUGGACUCUUCGGGGGCUUUGUAUCGGUCUUAUUCUCUUCCUUGCUGUCAUAUGGAUUCUGCAGGAAACAACCAAAAUCCGUAUUCUACGGUACAUUAUUCUGUUCAUUGGUGUAAUGAACAGCUUGUUUUCUGUCUGUGAUAUUUACAGUGAUCUGAUAUCUCGAAGAGUUCAUACCAGCGAUGCUGAGAAGUUUGCGGAAGUGUGCCCGUGUCCUUGUACUGGUGUCGGGUGGGGUGUCAUCUGGUGAGCAUACUUGCAGUACUGAAGUGCCAAGGGACUCAUAUCAUUCUUGUUUCUCUGCACAGCAACGUACCUCGGUCUGGUGAUCCUAUCUUGAGGGCGAGGGAAACCAAAUAGAAAAGUCGAAUAUAUUGUUCAUGCAAACUGCCAAGUACAAACAACUUUGUCAUCAUAUAUACAUUGUAUAUUGAGGUUGAUAUUGUUUGUUGUUGUUCAAAAUGGGAGAAUUUUAAGUCUGUCAUGGCAGCCUCUUCUUUAGCAGUUGCUUGGUGAAGAAUGGGGACUGUAACAGAGCAGAAAUUUGUCAUGGAUUCUUCAUGUAAUUGAAACUUAUCACACAUGGAAAAUAAAAUGGCCAUAGCUUUACAAUUU